AACGUAGGAGCCUAGCGUUAUCCGAAUUCACUGGGCGUAAAGCGCGUGCAGGCGGUUCGGUAAGUUGGAUGUGAAAUCUCCUGGCUCAACUGGGAGAGGACGUUCAAGACUGUCGGACUAGAGGACGGUAGAGGAAGGUAGAAUUCCCGGUGUAGUGGUGAAAUGCGUAGAUAUGCGGAGGAACACCGAUGGCGAAGGCAAUCCCCUGGGCCUGUACUGACGCUCAUGCACGAAAGCGUGGGGAGCAAACAGG
rnacentral:rRNA from 1 species